GGGGAAUAUUGCACAAUGGGCGAAAGCCUGAUGCAGCAACGCCGCGUGAGUGAUGAAGGCCUUCGGGUUGUAAAGCUCUGUCUUUUGGGACGAUAAUGACGGUACCAAAGGAGGAAGCCACGGCUAACUACGUGCCAGCAGCCGCGGUAAUACGUAGGUGGCGAGCGUUGUCCGGAUUUACUGGGCGUAAAGGAUGCGUAGGCGGAUUUUUAAGUGAGAUGUGAAAUACCCGGGCUUAACUUGGGUGCUGCAUUUCAAACUGGAAGCCUAGAGUGCGGGAGAGGAGAGUGGAAUUCCUAGUGUAGCGGUGAAAUGCGUAGAGAUUAGGAAGAACACCAGUGGCGAAGGCGACUCUCUGGACCGCAACUGACGCUGAGGCAUGAAAGCGUGGGUAGCAAAC
rnacentral:rRNA from 1 species